rnacentral:sRNA from 1 species
UUGAUCGCAUCAGAUCUCCUUGGCGACACCGAUAGGGGUGGCGAGUACCGUUGCAUCGAGCACGCCGGUCCUCCGGUAGCUAAGCCGACAGCCGUCGCACUCGAAGGAGCCCUUUUCAUG